rnacentral:rRNA from 1 species
AUGGAAGAUGGUCCUACUAGAAAAACAAGCUAUGAACAGAACAAAUAUGUUGUAAGCGAAUUAACGGUCCAGGCGCCACCGCGCGUCAAAUUCUCCACUGGCUCGCUAACCAGGACCGAUGUUGGACGGCGUCGAGGCUGGCCCGCCGCGGCCUCCAGCACCACCCUAGGUACCUCCUUUGCAACCAAGACCCGGAGACCAUCCAACACCUGCUCAUGGCAUGCCCAUUUGCUAAGCAGACUUGGCACAUCAUCCUGGACUGGGCGCAUAUACCUGCCCAACCGCCAGCCAACGAAACUACCAUGA